CUCCACCUCCCGGGUUCACACCAUUCUCCUGCCUCAGCCUCCCGAGUAGCUGGGACUACAGGCGUCCCCCACCAUGCCGAGCUAAUUUUUCGUAUUUUUAGUAGAGACGGGGUUUCACCGUGUUAGCUAGGAUGGUCACGAUCUCCUGACCUCGUGAUCCGCCCACCUCAGCCUCUAAAAGUGCUGGGAUUACAGGGGUGAGCCACCACGCCCAGCAACGUUCUACUUCUUCAGCUAAGUGUUUCCCCAAAUGUUUGUCAUAUUCUUUAAACUGUACUCUUACAUUACACAUGCCUUUUUGCUUGCAUGAUAGUUCAAUUAUUUAAAAAAACAUAUUCCAGUAGUCCAGUUAAGAGCUUGCACACUUGAAAAUGCUUAAAAUGCUAAAUUUUUUAUGUCUAUUUUACUGCAAUUUUUAAAAAGAAAAAAAAGGAGAGCUUAAACUCUGGAAUUUGCCCUCCAAAUCACUGAACUUUACACUCAUAGCACCCAUUUCACAUUUUUUUCUGUGUGGUAUAAAUUAGUUCCUCCAUUUGACCUUCCAAAACACUAACUCACUUUUCAGCAAGAUAUAGCAUGUGACCUGUCUUUGCUCUUGCUGA
rnacentral:lncRNA from 1 species